rnacentral:lncRNA from 1 species
AACUCGCCGGAGCGCGCCCGCUUCCGGCUCGGCCCCAUCGUCCGCACGCUGACCGCCGCGCAGGACGGGGACUACCGGUGCGCGUUCCAGGAGGAGGACGACGAGGGGAUCACGGGCAUCAACCUCUCCAAGGACCUGCCCGUCGUCGCCGCGAACGCGCUCAAGAGCAACAUCAUAGCCUUCGGCCCCGCCGUCCUGCCCGUUUCCGUGCUCCUCCGGGUCGCGUUCUCCUUCCUCAGGCACAGGUUCUCGAGCGGCGAGGCGCGCGCGGAGGAGAGGUGCUACCGCCCGGCCUUCCACAAGGUGUUCCAGCACUUCUGCAUCCACCCGGGCGGGCGCAGGGUGCUCUACGAGGUCCAGCGCGGCCUCGGCCUCUCCGACGGCGACAUGGAGGCGUCGCACAUGACGCUGCACCGGUUCGGGAACAUGGCGAGCAGCUCGCUGCUGUACGAGCUCGCCUACAUCGAGGCCAAGGGCCGGAUGAGCAAGGGUGACCGGGUGUGCAUGAUCUCCUUCAGCCCCGGUAUAGACUGCAGCAGCGUCAUGUGGGAGUGCAUCAAGCCGGCGGCAGAGCCCGGCGACGGGCCGUGGGCCGGCUGCAUCAACCGCUACCCUGUGCAACUUCCCAAAAUUCUCAAAAGGACUUGAAGGUAGUCGUGUUCGAGCAUCAUCACGCAUGCAUCCGAUCAACAAGUGCAUGUGCUCUGCUUGCGUGCAACUACCUAGCCGCAUAGCACUAUUGGGCACGUAUGUGUCAUGCAUAAAUGUGUACCAAACCAAAUAAAAACCAACAUCUACGGGUUGAUUCAGCAGAGGACUCCAUCCAUCAUCUAGUUACACUACUAAUACUAUACAAAUAAAUCUGAGUUUUUAUUGCCGUCCCCUGAGCCCUCACUGCCGGUUAACCCACUGCUGGGUUGAAAGGAAAAUGACAUUAUCGACGAUUUGUAUUUAGAAAAAAAAAUCCCUUUACGACAAACCGGAAUUGAUACUUUCACUCCCAGUAUGUGGUAAGCUGUUGGCGCUCACCAUGCAUAAGCAACCUUUUACUAUAGAAUUGCCUUAGUAUUGAUGCAUAGUUCACCCCUUAUACUACAUCCACUACCCUUUUCAGUUGUGUCGCCAUUAGUUGUCUUCCGCGGUGUUCUUGUUUUUCGGCCAAAGUGGCCCUUGUACCUGGCUCAAAGCCUCUGGUGUUCUUCUUACACAAAAAUGUUACUGCUGAUGGCUGUUAAAGAGUCAAAUCCUUACUGGUGCCCGCCCGUGUUGGAUAUUUUGUGAUCUCGGCAUAACAACCGAGAGAACAAACCUUUUCGCAUACAUAUUUCCACCAUCGUAUAUGUGAGUAGGACUCAGGUGCUGUGAUCGGCAAGCACACCUAACACAUAACCUUCUAGGACUCUUCCACAGUGCUAUAUAUAUGAAUUGGAAGGUGCCCCGUGCAUCAAUCUAAUCUCGUCAUUAGGCUAAACACCAAUCAAUUAGGGCACUAAAGGGAUUGGAAGCAUGAGAUCCAUCUACUGCAGGAAGCUGAUUUUCACCAAUCAAGAACUCCUGUUCUUAAGAUGUGAAUCAUGAUCUACGUCGAGUUCAGCAAAGGUGACGUUCAGGAGGGUACAGUUCGUCAUCGAUAUCUAAGUCUUCACCAACAGAGAGCUCUAAAGCUCUUAAGCUGGUGAAGAUCACGUUUACUUCAUUUACAUCAGCCCUGCUACAACAACAGAGGAGCUAAUGGCAUCUACGUGCUCUGGUUAGUCUAAUCUAAGUAUUCCGUAUUAAGUUAAGUUAGUGAUCAUGAUUAGGCUAAGCUAAGAUUAUGUUUAAGUUAAUGCUAGAUUAAGUUCAAUCUAUCAGCCCGAGGACUGGGAGCUUUCAAAAGGGGACUGAAACGUGUCCCCAAGCAUAUAAGAAAAUUAAGGUAGCCCCCUUUCAACCUUUUUGUGUAGAGUGCAACAACACAGCCUGUCCAUUUUUCCUCAUUCCAACCUGCCUUCAACGGUUCUAACAGCUCCUUGCCCAAUCCCACGCGACUAUACCAUGGCAGCCUUCGUCCCUAGCCCUUUCUCAGAAUCCAUAUAUCCUAAGCCCCAUAUCCCUAGCUAACCCCAAGUCCACAUACCUCUUGGAGGUGAGGUGGAAGAGAUGGGAUUGGUUGAAGAAUUGAGGGUUUAUGAAAAUAUUUUGGUGCCGAAGAGGAAAGAGAUGGCCGAUCGAGUAUAGGAUAGCUUUCCUAUCUGGAAUUUAGUCUUGAAGUUUCUGUUGUUUAAGGAGUGAUCAUUUUUCCGCAAGAUUUCAGGUGAUCUAACAUGAAUAACGGUGAACAUGGUCCACCCCCACGAGGUUAGUGGUGAUGCUUCUCCGGUGCCAAUUUGUUGUAUCCAUGGAUUUCGGUGGCGGGCACCGGGCAGGACCGGUGGUGGGAACAUCGCUUGCUGUGGGUGGCAAGAGAGAUGGCCGGAUGGACCGGCCAAGAUGGAGGAUAUGAUCCAAUAGUAGGGAUGUCGCUGCAAAUGGAGGGGACAGGAGAGUGACGUGAGAGAAUUUGUCCGCAUGUUGAAGACUGAUGAGCGUCACCUGAAAAAUGCCUGAUCACGAGUGUGUUAAAUAGCAACCUUCUUUCGUGAUUGUUGCCGAUCUAAUUGAGCGUUCGGCUGUGCAGCAUUCCCAUGCAAUGCAACGCAGCAGAUCGAAUCGUAUAAGACAGCAUGCAACAACGCCAAGUGCUGAACGCGUUGGACAACACAAGAAAUGCCUCAAUGUUCCGACCAUGUAUUAACUUGCCGGAAGGCAAAGAUUGUGGACAAUGGUUGCAGGAAGCAAAAGCAAGAACCCGAGCGCUCUCAGCAACUAAACAGGGAGAUCUACCCGAUUUUUUAACCGACCAUGACGUGGCGGCAGAUCAUCUGGUGAGCUGAUCAAGAGCACUCUUCUCCUUCCCGUGCCGCUCCUGCGGUGCCGCCGCCGCCGCCCGGCCGCCGGCCUCCGGGUGGAUGAGGAGCUUGAACCUGCCGUCCUCCUUGCAGGGCUGCAGCAGCUCCUGCGACGGCAGGCGCAUCUCCCGCAGCACGAGGCGCCCGCCCUCGCGGUGCGCCCGGAGGCUGAGCCACGGCCGCCCGCCCUUGCCGAUCACGGAGAUCGGCGGCGGGAACGCCCGCCCGCUCCUCGUCCGCCGCAGCAUGAUCACGUCGUGCUGGCGGUGCCCGACGUCGCUGCCGCCGCGGCCGGCGUCGUCGUCGCCGUCGUCGAGGUGCUGCUGCCUCCUGGACGACGGCGGCGGGGGCGCCGGCCGCGCGCAGUGACCGGCCGCUCCGGCGACGGCGUCGUCCGCCAUGUGGGGGUGGCGGAGGCGGCGGCGUCGUCGGAGCGGAAGCCCUCGGCGCCGAGCGCUUCGGUGAGGAGGCCGAGGAGCAAUGGAGGGGUAGGAGGGGCAGGGCGGGGGCGUGUCGUGGCGCGGCGAGGGAUAAGUAGCGGCGGGAGCGCCAUGGGGGUCGACGGACGGACUGACGGGCGUCGCGCGCGGAGGGUACGUGGUGGGUGCAUGCGCGGCUGCGGACCUGCGGUGCGGGCGAGCCAUAUAUGAUGAUGCAUGAUCUCAUGCGUACGUGCUCCUCCUCUCUCUCGUGGGUGAUCCAGCUGUGCUCUGCUGAGUCUGAAGUCUGAACGAUGUGUAGCCUCAUGGUUGCAGUUUCACUGACAGUGUCAGCUAUACGAACCCCCCCAAAAAAAAAGAAAAAAAAGGAAAAAGAUGGUGUUAUUGGCCCAGGUCAGUCUUCGGCAUGGCCCAAUAUAAAUGGGCCAGAUCAUAGAGUCCGGCCCUUUCUGCCGUCACAACCAAAAGGCCACCUAGUUGGUGUUAACUUUGGCAGAGUUAACAGUCCGAAAACUUUUGCGACAAUUUGAAAUCCGCAGCACAGAAGAUACAGUUGGGAAUUUAGAAUUGCGGAGGCCCUUGAGAUGGCACUGGCGGUCCAGGUGGAGACAAUUCAGCAGGCCGCACCAUGCUUGAUGCCAUGUACGGAGUACUAGCUUGCCGCCUCAUGAUGACACUACGUAUUGAGAACCGGGCACUGCUAUCACUCCGAACUGUGAUCAAAUCAUCAAUAAUGUAAUCCUCCACAAACUCAUUUCCCCACGGUUAUUCAAAUGUGUACUGAAAACGGUUAGCCUUUUAUAGAGAAGCUACGGGGGGAAAGUAGUAUUCUUGCAGCGUUGUGCGCGAAGCAUUUCCCCUCGCUUCCCAUGGCCGGUGAUCGCCUACCACGCAUGCCAAGUCAAGUGCUGCCACAGAGAAAGUAGAGGGAACGAUGUGACGCUGGAAAACGUACCUAGUGGGAGGUAGAGCUUUUCUCGAAAAAGGAACGGACACGGUCGGCGAGUCGAAGGCUACAACUCUUGCCCGAAACUGGGAUCAGCGCAGUGCGAAGGACAGCGAACGGCGCGGCGCGACAGGUCCAGCCGAUGGUGUCGAUUCCGUCGUUGGAAGUGCCUUUCCGGCUUUUCUUUUCCCUUUUCGCGGAUGCAAAGUGGCAGCGCCUUUAGCAGCGUGCUUUAGCCACCAAAUCAUUUUAACAAUAGGUUGGCUAGGUGGCUUACUGACAUGGCACACAAAUGGAGUGCUCCAUCUGACCAUCUCCAUUGGCGUGAUGCAGCUGAUUGUUGUGCGACGCUAACCCAACGGAAGGAUAGCACAGCAGGAAGCUGCACAAUGCAAGUUCGUACUGUGUUUAGCCACCAGCAACAACUGGGCUGGGCCAUCCUUCCAAAUUCGUUGAUGGUAGAAACGAGAGAGAUUUGUUGGGUUUUUAUAUGGCUUUCAACAUUAUUUAUAUAAUGUGAUUAUUGUUCAACUCAAUGUGGAAUUAUUUGGAUACCUGUGAUAGGGAAUAAUUGAUGUGGAAUUUAACUCAAGUAAGUGAUACUCGAGGUGCAAUUAAUUAAGAUCCACUCAACUGGAAUAUUUCUUAUGUACGUACAUGUUUGACCCGGUACAGCACGACGGAAGAGAUGGGUUUGUUUUGCAUGAUCAUAUUGGAAUUGAUCUCAUAUACACAAUUGAUCAUGGCACAUGAUUCACACAUGUGUGCUAGGGACGGUUAUAUAUUUUAGACUCAACAAACUGACAUGUCUGAUCGUUCGUGGUUGGUGAUAUGGUUCAGGAGUCACAUGGAUUUUCCGGAACAUGGGUAGGAUAUUUGUAACACCUGAAAGUGGAGUCUAUAAAUAAAUCUCUACCCUCUAACCUCAAAAUGCAUUGUGAGCGAAAGGCACGGGAAUAGAGGGUUGCCUUACAAAGUCCAGGGACGUUUUUUAAGCGCCGAACAAAGUUACGAAGCCUUUCAAGUCAUACUCCCAUCAUCUCUACUCCUUUAGGCAUACACAUAUUGCAAGGUUAGUCAAAUAUCAUAAUCUCGAUCAACAAUUAGCUCAAUGAUUUGCAGAUUUUGUUUAGGGGAUUUAUUUGAUGGUGCAAAAGUCAGAAAUUAAAAAGGAGGUUGGAUCUUAGCUGGUGAUGCUAAUUAGUGCGCGCCGGGAAUGUUCCCGGCCAUCAAUUCCCGACUAGACCACGGUUGCCUUUUAUAGAAUAUUAUUUUGCUGCCUCAUUCCCUCUCGGAAACCGCAUCGUGUGUGCGGUGUUACUAUUCCAGUUCCGACCUGCGUGCUCGGUGCACUUAUGCGCACCUCCCGGAAACAAGAAGACCCCUUCUUCCAUUACUCUUACAUAAUUAAUUUUUCCAAAAAAAUAUUGCAAAACAAAUUUCAAGGGAAAAUGUUGUGCCAAAAGAAAUUUUGCGAAAGAAAUUAUUGAUAUAACUUUUGCAAAAGCUUGUAUAAAUUUUUUUUAUAUAUAUAACUUAUGCAAAAGAGCAAAUUUAUAUAAAAAGAAAAAAGUUAUAUAUAUAUAACUUAUGUAAAAGAAGCAAAACUUAUAAAAAAUAAAAAAGUUAUAUACAUAACUUAUGCAAAAGAAAGCAAAACUUAUAAAAAAGAAAUAAUUAUGCAAAAUAAGAAAAAACUUAUAAAAAACAUAAAAGUUAUAUACAUAACUUUUCCAUUGCAUCAUCUUUUCAUGAGAAAAAACAAAUACGGACAAAAAAAGAGAAAAAAAAUGAGCGCUCCGCCUCCCGUCCCCAUUGCUAACCGCGCCGUAUGCUGCACCGCCUCCACCCCGCUCGCGACCGCAGUCUACUCCGCGCCCAUGUUCCGCCUAUGCUCAUCAUCUUCGAGCCACUUCCCCUGCCCGGACACUACGCCACUGAAAGAGGAACCAGCUGAUAAUCUCUUUUACCUACUGUUUUUGGAAAGAUUUUCUCUCUGCAACUUACCUUUUUCCUGAAAGAUUUUUUAAAAAAUACUUUUCUCUAAUUCUUUUUAGAAAACUUUGUAGAAAAUCAUCUCUGUUCACCAUGUAGACGAGAUGGGAGGCAAAUGUUGGCGCAAAACUCGGUCACGCAGAACAGGAAUAGCAAGAGCCUUCAAGAUGAAAGCCCAAACUAGUUAUAUUCUGCUUUGGAAAAAUGAGACCACUCCCUCCUUUCCGUGAAGGGAAGGGCUUAUAUUCCUUCUGUGUACAUAUUACUGCUCAAAAUGUGGAUGUAAGGAGAGUCCUAGCCACGAUAAAUGGGAUGUAUGGCAGUUAAUUUCCAAAACAAAGUAAACAUGCAGCGGUAAGACUAAAAGCUAAUGUUAUAAGGCCAAAUCAGCAAAAAUGCACUGCAAUUGUAUAGGCCCUUUAUGUAGGCAUCAUACAUCGUUAGUUCGCGUUCAUGCAUAUGACUAGCAGGCACCUCCUUUCAAGAUUAUUGAUUCCUACUAGUCAAUGCGGCAUAUUUCCUCUCAGAUUUUCAGGCGCCGUUCAUGAGUGGCUUCUUCAUCUGCCACGCCGUCAGAAGCGACACCUUGACGUCCGCCUUGCCGUUGUUGAACACGUAGAGGUGGGCGUUCUUGUCGAUGGCGAGCGACGGGUAGACCCUCGAGAGGAUGCACGUCUUGCCCCCGGCUCCAAAGCUCUCAACAACGGAUCGGUCGAUCUGCACACGCAAGAUUAACAUGAAAACAACUAAGGAAAAUUUAAAGAAUUACCAAGCUUGUCAUCGGCGAAUUGUAUGCUUAAUUACCAAGGUUCUCAGAGAUAUCUUGCCGUCUGGAAGUUCUGUAUCUACAAAACCUGCAAAUGUCGGCAGGUACAGGUCUGGAUUGAGAGACGACCUGUCCGGAAGAGACAGAGGGAAUUAAAAUGUCAGUGUAGUUCAGGUUCAGUGCGUGACUACUGUAGCAAAGGCACCUGCGUGCUCUCACUCACUUGGUUGGGUCGGUGCACAUGAGCACGACGGGCUUGUCUUUGCCGGCGGCCUUGAACACCCUGAAGAACACCGCGGUCCUCUCCUGCAUGUCGGCGGACGCGAGCACCCACAGCCCGAACGGCCCGAUGCCGCCCUGCACGUCGGCGCCCUUGACGCCGCACAGCCUCUCGGCGUCGUGGGCGAGCGCCGGGUCCAGCGUCUCGGCCCCCUCCAGGCUCGACAACGCGAAGCUCACCUCCACGUCAGCCUGUGCUGUCUGUAGCCCCGUCACCUCGACGUGUUUCCCUGGCUUGAUCACCUUGUCCUUGAGAGUGACUGGCUGGUGCCGGAGGGCCUCGACCUCCUCGAUCGGCCACUGCAACACCUGCUUCCCGCUGAAGUCGAGCCAAACCUUCCUUGGAAUCGCCUGGAUUCCAGCCCACCCCUUGGCGACAUCGUGGGUGCGGGUGUCGGACUCGUUGGCCCAUCCCCAGAGCACCCGGCGCUUCUUCGCCGGGUCGUAGAACGUCUUGGACGCGUAGAAGUUGCCGUAGUCGUAUCGCAGGUGGUGCUCGUCGCCGGCGGCGUCGUCCGGCACGUACCGCUCGGCCUUCUCGUCGUACGUGCCGACGGUGUAGUAGUCGUAGCGCCGCAGGUCGAGGCUGUUCUUCAGCACGUACUUCACCUUCGGCCCGGACGCGGAGGCCUCGAGCCCGUCGGCGUAGCCCGCCUCGACCGGGUAGAAGUCCGGGCACUCCCACAUCCCCGUCGCCGCCGAGUGCAAUGGCCGCUCCACCCGCCUCCACCGCCUGAAGUCGCGGCUCCGGUACACGUACGCCACGCCCCGGGAGCCGCCCUCGGCCGCGCUGCCGAUGAGCAGCCGCCACUGGCCGCCGGAGAGCCACGCGGUGGUCGGGUCCCGGAACUGCGUCGCGUUGAUGUCGGCCUCGGGCACGAUGAUGGGGUUGUGCCCGGGCUUCACCCACUCCCGGAGCAUCGGGUCUGACUUGUUCUUCGGGAAGGCGAUGUUCUGGACCUGGUAGCUGACGUCCGGGCGGUUGAUGCCCGUGUACAUGAUCACCGGCGUGCCGCAGGGCAGCGUGGUAGCCGAGCCUGACCAGCAGCCGUACUUGUCGCCCGGGAUGCUGGGCUCGAUCGCCGUCUCUAGGGCCUCCCAGUUGAUGAGAUCUCGCGACACCGAGUGCGCCCACACGAUGUUCUCCCACACGGCGCCCUUGGGGUUGUACUGGUAGAAGAAAUGGUACCAGCCGUUGUAGUACAUGGGCGCUGCGGAUUCAUUCAGCAAAUCGAAAAUUUUAAUUUGCAAAGCCCAAAGUUAAGUUAUUUCUUUCUUUUGUUUUUGAACCCGGAAGUUAUUUCUUUCCACCUAUAUUAGAACAUCAAUUGAGAUGGAACUAAAUUAUGCAUGGUGUUCGUUCUUGUGGAGGAAACUUAAAUUUGUUCAUCUAGCAAUAGGAGAGACGAGAGAGAGCAAAGUGUCUCCCAUUUGCAUGUUACAUGUUCUGUAAUAAUCGUCAUGAAUGAAGUUGACAGUUGCAUAGUAUAACUUGACAUGAUCUUCUAAAUAACACUUUGAUCAUUUAUUUAUCUUACAUUAUAUUAUUUAUGGUUAUAAACUAACGAUUAUUAUAGAUUAUAUUUAAUUACAAAUCCAACCAUAUAAAGUUUACAUUAUAAAAAUAAAAAAUUAAUAGUCAAACUAUUGGUAAAAAAUUGCAAAGUUUGAAUCUUGAUAUACGUGUGCGCCUUAUAAAUAAAAAGGGAGGGAGUAUUUGGCAUAUACAGAAAUCCAGCAGAUGCAUACUAUAAAAAACAGGAAUAAUAAGGGCUGGGAAAUAAAAUGACGUACCGUUGGGAUCUGAAGUUGCAAAGAUACGCCGCCGAUGCAAUCAGAGAGCAGCCCACCGUAAAAGAUUAGAAAAUGGAGUUAGAGUCAAACAUUGGCAACAAUUGUUGUUACUAAAUAAAUCAGUAAAAAUGGUGCAAUUUUCUGUUCACUGGGACCUUUGAGCUUCAGCGAAACGACUUCUGAAACUUUUUCAGUCCAUGUUGGUUGCUGCCAGAUUACAGCCCGGAGCAUGGUAGGGUCAUAGCACUGGCUGACUCUCAACUCUACUACUAACAUACUAAUUUUUCGUAGCAAGAAAAUUGUAGACACAGAGUUGAGUUGCUGUGUUGAGCCGUUAAGCAUGCAGAUCGUGAUUUUUUGAUUUGACAAGAAUGACUGGGCUGUCAGUCAUAUCAAUGUUCUCUGUCGUAGGAAUAGCAAUAAAUGUUCAAGCUUAUUUAGCCUCUUCUUUCAGGAGAUGUUUAACACAUCACCCUAAAUUUUUUUUGCUGGUUGGUUAGUCUGUGUGAAUUGUGAUUUAGCUUGUAUGAUUGCAAUUGGAAACUUCUGUCUGUCGGGUCUCUCCUUGAGCGAGCAGAGUGCCCUAUAUACAGUCGUCGGCCGGCAAAAUUCAAAACCUGCACGUUCUACCGCGAUAUUCAAGGUCAGGUCAGAAGGUUUACGUUACCAUUGAUCCAGUUCUUGGGGGGCUGGAAGUGGUACCCGGUUCUCAGGAGGGGGUCGACGAUGGACGGCGGCACGUUCGCCGUGGCCGCCUCCGUCUCAAGCUCCUUGUAGUUGUAGACGACAUGGGACGCUCCGGUGAGCUGCAACAAAAGCAACCACGCGCAAGCAACCCUUAUCACAAGAGCUCCCAUUUCCCUUACUCAACAACAGAGAGGGGGAGCAAGAACAGGAGGGGAAGGAUGCGAGAAGCGGGCGACAGGGGGUGCUCUUUAUACUGUGCCGCCGCAGGCCGGAGCGCUGCGCCUGCGCUGACAUGUCAGAAAUCUGUGGGUUGACUCUAGCAGCAACAGCCGGCCGGCAGCGAAUCCCCAACACAAGAAAUCUCUGGUUUUUUAAACAGUUUUGCCCUUUCAAUAUGAUAUAGGAGAAGAAAAGAAAUAUGUGGGUUGACUUCAGAAGUAUCAUGUCGAAAUUAAAAAUAAUCUUCGGAGUAUAUCUAUUUUUUUUCAAAAGAAGGCCGGUCUAUCUAGCUAUCCAUCCACACUACUACCUCCGUCUCAAAAAAAUAUAUUAAAGAUAUUAAUUAAUUAAACAUGCCGUAUGCACCUUAAUGAUCCAAAUCUUGGAAAGGAAAAAAGUCAAAGAAAAUUAAAUUUACGUAUCUUGGAAAAAAUCGAGCAAAUGAAUGUAAAUGCAGCUUGGAAACAAAAAAAGGGUGGUUUUGGAUCCCACGGGAAUUGUAAGAAUCUGGAUAGUAGAUAUAGUUAUAAGGAUAUGGAUUCUGACUAAUAAUAAAUUUGGUUGUUUGGGUCCUUGGAUUUUGCCCCUAAUAAACUAUGUCAAUCCCUUUCUCUCUUACUGAUCUCUCUCCAAAUAAUAGGGUUCAGGGAGAUAGUGGGAUUCUUCUAAUCCUGGUGGUUGGAUUCUUAUAGUCCUCGAAAGAAUCUGGGUGUUUGGAUUUCAUAAGGGAUUCUUUAAGCUGAUUUCUACAAUCUCUGUGAGAUCCAAACAUGACCUAGGGCAAUUAAAUGCACAUCCAAUUAAAUCCAGUUGGCUAAAAAGGCUACAAAUGCAUUCUUUGUAGGAUUAUAAGUAUCUAGAUAUGGGAUAUAGUUAUAAAUAUAUGGAUUCUAACUAAUAAUAAAUUGGGCUAUCUGGAUCUCUGGAUUUCACCCCUAAUCAUGCUCUCUCUCUCUCCCUCCCUCAGUAAUCUCCAAAUAGUAGGGUUGAGAGAGACAGUGAGAUUCUUUAUGAUCUUGAUGGUUGAAUUCUUAUAAGGAUGCAACGUACCAUGCGUUAGGCCAGCUGCACACGACUACUCUAUUUUUUGGAAAAAGAAUUAACUGGAUGAUAUUACUUUCUAAUAAUCAGUUAUGCUACAAUUGCUUCACUGGAUAGUCAAUUUGAGUACUUGAAGACAUUUGAAAAGCUGUUUGGUUUCUUAUUAACUUAAAAAAUUUAAAUCCUUGGAUUAUAAUGAUAUGUGGAAAAGUUGUACUACUUUUGCAGAUGCUUUUUUUUCUCAUGAUAGCUUGUUUGAUGUUGAUCUAUAUGUUUCUUUUUUUGUCUGAAAUCGAAAUUAUUGCAAGUAGCUUUGUCAGGUGGUCUGAUGUUGGCACAUGAGAUUCUUCAGUUUCUUGCAUCCGCAGAUUGCUCUUCAAAUGUCUCUAUUGCCUAUCGGAUCCCCUUAACUACCUGUGAUUGUAGCAUCGGGUGCAAGAAGUUUCUUGAAAUUGAAACUACUGAAAAACUAUUUGGGGUCGACUACAUUGCAUGAAACAUUGAAUGGCUUGGCUAUGUGCAAUAUUGAGAAUGAUGUCUUGGAUAACAUUUGUCUUGAAACUAUCCUUAGGGUACCCAUAGUGUGGUGAAAAUGGGGGUCUUAAGUCCUGCUAAGAUCAACCUCAUACAAAAAUGCAUGGUGACUGUCGGGGAUAGUUUGUGCACUUGAAUGUGCACUCUGAAACAUCGAAAAACAAAACAAACCAACAACCUCCCCGAGGUGACUGUCGGGAGUAGAAGCAAUCGUCAACAAACGAACAACAUCCCUAAUACUUUAAUUUGUGGCAUAGCUAAUUUAGUAAAAUCAAAACAAAAACCUAAUGAGUGUACAUUAAUAAGUAGAAGGAAAAAAAUCAAACUCAAUUAUACAUUAAAUUCAAUCAAACUCAUUAAUUAAAACUAUGGAUGUAAUAAUUAAUAACAAACUCAAUUCUAUAUUACAUUAAAAUGAUAAACAUAGCAUUGUAAUGGUUAUAAUAUGACCAUAGAAUUUUAUUUAAAAAAUAAUCCAUCUCUAGUUAUUUUCUCUCUCUCUUCCACCCUCCCUCUUCUAGGUCUAGAUCUAGAUCUAGAUGACAACCUAAUGAAGCUAGAAAUGAUGGAUAGAAGUUGAAAAAGAAGGUUGGAAUGGCACAAACUUAUCUUUUAUAGCCACCUCCUCCAAAGAAAAUAAGAGUAAAACUUUCCCCUUAGAUUUGGUAUUUUUGGAGCUUUUCCCGAGCUCCUCUCGAGCAAGCUCCAAAUGGAAGGUUGGCUGGGCAAGAAGUUGUUCGCGGCUUUAUCUGGGCGGCAUUUGUGCUAACGGGUGCUUAGGUCACCCGCCAGCACAGAUCUGUGUUGGCGGGCACUAGCUCGGUGGCCCCGGUUAUUUUUGUGUAGGCGGGUGCCAAUUCCGUCCACCAGCAUGCUAAUUUCGACGUACCAGCACAAAUCGUUUCUGGCGUAGUGUCACGGGAUUUUAUAGGCAUUAAAUACUAUAUCAUAUUAUUAGUUUUGCUGACUUGAUAAGUUAAUUAGAAAAAAGGGAGUAUACGGUAUACUCCAUUGAUACGGUUGAACGUUGCUAACUCUCAACUACUCGUUUGUCCCUUCAAUUUAUAUAUGCCGACAGCCUCCCCAUGUGCUAGGAGUACGACAUAUCAACUCUCGACGAAACCUGUCCCUGCCCACACAGCUAUGCAAUCUUAUGGGACACUGCUGGCUUGUUGCAUGGUUGUGUACUGAGCAAGGGCUAUUUAAAGGGAAAGCCAAUGGUAUAAUCCUCGUGUACUUGAGGCAUAGAGUCGUGCAUAGAAUACCGUGGACCGUGGUGCACACUGCACACCACCGAGACUGGCCCUUAGAUGCUCCUUCCAGUUCGCCAUGGCGGUCGUAGCUGCGCUUCAGAGAGCAUGGGUGUUAGUCAGCCAUGGCGAACUCGUUGGCUUGCUCACUCCACUUCACGUCGUAAUGGCAUUUACCCUGGGUGCCGGCGUGGUCAUGCUGUGGCGGGUUUGCCGGUCGCGGGACGUGUACCUCGUGGACUACGGCUGCUUCCUGGGGGAGCCACGCCACAGGGUCCCGUUCGCGAUGGCCCUGGAACACGGACGCCUCAUGACCUGGUUCGUCGAUGAUGAGAGCACCAAGUUCAUGGUUCGGCUGUACGAGCGGUCCGCAAUCGGCGAGGAGACCAGCGUCCCGGAUUCCUACCGUUACAUGCCCCCCGAGCGCGGCGUCGAGGCCUCACGCGAGGAAGCCGAGCUGGUCAUCUUCUCCGCCGUCGACAAGGCAUUUGCCCGGAGCACGCUGAACCCCGGGGACAUCGACACGCUCAUCGUAACCUGCAGCUUCACCACGCUGACGCCGGAGUUCGCCGACGUCAUCGUGAACAGGUACAAGCUCCGCGCCGAAGUGCGGAGCGUGAACCUGUCCGGGAUGGGUUGCAGCGGGGCCCUCAUCUGCGUCGGCCUCGCCAAGAACCUCCUGCAGGUGGCGCCGCCGGGGAGCCAUGUCCUGAUCGUGGCCACCGAGAUCCUGUCGUCGAUGUUCUACACCGGAACCAAGCGCGAGAUGCUCGUGCCCAACGUCCUCUUCCGCAUGGGCGCCGCCGCCAUAAUCAUGUCCAACUCGCCGGAGCGCGCCCGCUUCCGGCUCGGCCCCAUCGUCCGCACGCUGACCGCCGCGAAGGACGGGGACUACCGGUGCGCGUUCCAGGAGGAGGACGACGAGGGGAUCACGGGCAUCAACCUCUCCAAGGACCUGCCCGUCGUCGCCGCGAACGCGCUCAAGAGCCACAUCAUAGCCUUCGGCCCCGCCGUCCUGCCCGUUUCCGUGCUCCUCCGGGUCGCGUUCUCCUUCCUCAGGCACAGGUUCUCGAGCGGCGAGGCGCGCGCGGAGGAGAGG